GUGGGGAAUAUUGGGCAAUGGGCGCAAGCCUGACCCAGCAACGCCGCGUGAAGGAAGAAGGCUUUCGGGUUGUAAACUUCUUUUACCAGGGACGAAACAAAUGACGGUACCUGGUGAAUAAGCCACGGCUAACUACGUGCCAGCAGCCGCGGUAAUACGUAGGUGGCGAGCGUUAUCCGGAUUUAUUGGGUGUAAAGGGCGUGUAGGCGGGACAGCAAGUCAGAUGUGAAAACCAGAGGCUCAACCUCUGGCCUGCAUUUGAAACUGUUGUUCUUGAGUGUCGGAGAGGUAAUCGGAAUUCCGUGUGUAGCGGUGAAAUGCGUAGAUAUACGGAGGAACACCAGUGGCGAAGGCGGAUUACUGGACGAUAACUGACGCUGAGGCGCGAAAGCGUGGGGAGCAAUCAGGAUUAGAAACCCUGGUAGUCC
rnacentral:rRNA from 1 species